GGUUGGUUUCCAGUCAGGGAAGCUCACCAACUGUCUGUCAGUUGUCAUACUGUGGUGGCUGCGUGUUCUUCUGAUGCUGAAAGCUAUGCCACCAGUAUUUCAAAUACCAGCAGGGUCACCCAUGGUGGACGGAUUUCAGCGGAGCUUCCAGACUAGACAGACUAGGAAGAAGGACCUGGCCACCCACUUCCGAAAAAAUUGGUCGUGAAAACCCUAUGAAUAGCAGCAGAGCAUUGUCUGAUACAGCGUCGGAAGUAUUGGCGUGAUGGAAAUCCAAGUGCUUGGUUUGCUCCUACAGAAACCAAAGAAGUGUUUUGCAUCUUCCUGCCAAAUGCUUCCCCUGACCUUCCCCAGUAUUGUCUGUAGGAAGAUGAAGAUCCUUUUGCUCAAAGAAGCCAAGAGCUUGCAAGAGAUGAUAGUUAAGAGGUGGAACCAAGGCUUAAAUCCAAGGCCUUUCAUCCAUACCAAAGUACUUUGCUUACUGACUGUACUGUAUUAGGUCAUUGAUGAGUUGUCUCUUGCUUGAAAUCUUUUCUUACUUGGGCUUUCUUAGCUGUAGACCCCUGUUAAUUUCCUUCAGUUUCUGCUGUUUAUUUCCCUGCAAAAUUCCCCUCUUUCCACCUCAAGAAUUUUAAGAACAGGAGAGGGUUACUUGUGUAUCAGUGAUCAUUUCACUAUGUCUAAUCAAACUCUGAAAUUAACUGGAAAUUUCCUGCUUGACUUGCAGAGUCGCUCUCUGUACAUUUUGUGCUUUCCAGCCUCAUCUUCUCUUGACCACCUUUCUGUGACUGCGUCUUUCAUUCACGUUCACUGCUUCAUCGCUUACUUCCUUUCUUCCCCUCAAGCCAUUACAUCUGUCCUUCCUUACAAAAUAUGUUUCUUGUUGGUUGAGUCUGUUUUUAAUUCAAGACUUCAGUCAUCCUUCAUUGCCUGGGGUACUUACAGCUUGUCUGAAAGCCCAUUUGUAAUUUUACCCCUUUACUUCAGAUGUCUCUUUCUUUUCUCCUUUUAAGAUUCUUGUUCUAUUGAUUUUCUUAUAGUGUUAUCCCUUUAUCUAUUGCUUGUUCAAGCUUUACUAUUUUUCUGUGCUCACUAUAACUGAAUGAGUUGAAAUUUAUCUGUUAAUAAUC
rnacentral:lncRNA from 1 species